GACCCCGUAGCUCAGUUGGAUAGAGCGUUGGUUUCCUAAACCGAAGGCCGUGCGUUCGAUUCGCACCGGGGUCG
rnacentral:tRNA from 1 species